rnacentral:lncRNA from 1 species
UUACAGUUACGGUUAGCCGCAAAAAAAGAGAGGUUACAUACAGUUACGGCGCGCAUCAAUACGUACACUUGAGCACCUUUUGAUGGCGCGACCGCCCGGCCGGCGAGCCUAUAAAUUCGCACCCGCCCUGCUGCAUUUUCACUCACACUGACUACUCAAACACGCAGCAAGCGCUUGCAGAGAAGCCAUAAAGCAACCUGAGAUCAGUUCCAGGCUUCCAGCACCAGGCGCCGCAGCACAAGUUCGAGAGCUAGAAAUGGCGCCGGCUUCGUCCUUCCCGAUCAUCGACAUGGGGCUGCUGGCCGGGGAGGAGAGGCCCGUGGCGAUGGACCUGCUGCAUGACGCAUGCGUGAACUGGGGAUUCUUCCAGGUGAAUAUGCAACUCCAUAACUCAAUCAACAACUUGCAUGACCAAGCUGCAUGAAUAGUUUCAUGCCGUUCUUUUCAAGUUGUACGCUGAUUUUGCUUUGCUCUUGUGGUGCGCGCGUGCAGGUUCUGGACCACGGCAUCUCAACGGAGCUGAUGGACGAGGUGGAGAAGAUGACCAAGGAGCACUACAAGAGGGUGCGCGAGCAGAGGUUCCUCGAGUUCGCCAGCAAGACGCUGGAGGGCGG